UGCCAGCAGCCGCGGUAAUACAGAGGGUGCAAGUGUUGUUCGGAAUUAUUGGGCGUAAAGGGCGUGUAGGCGGUAAGGUUAGUCAGAUGUGAAAGCCCUGGGCUCAACCCAGGAACUGCAUUUGAUACUGCCUGACUAGAGUACGGCAGAGGAGAGUGGAAUUCCCGGUGUAGAGGUGAAAUUCGUAGAUAUCGGGAGGAACACCAGUGGCGAAAGCGGCUCUCUGGGUCGAUACUGACGCUGAUACGCGAAAGCGUGGGGAGCAAACAGGAUUAGAUA
rnacentral:rRNA from 1 species